ACGGCUCAGUAACACGUGGUCAACAUACCCAGAGGACGUGGAUAACCUCGGGAAACUGAGGAUAAACCGCGAUAGACCAUAAUGUCUGGAAUGAUUUAUGGUUCAAAUCUAUAUGGCCUCUGGAUUGGACUGCGGCCGAUCAGGCUGUUGGUGAGGUAAUGGCCCACCAAACCUGAAACCGGUACGGGCUCUGAGAGGAGAAGCCCGGAGAUGGGCACUGAGACAAGGGCCCAGGCCCUAUGGGGCGCAGCAGGCGCGAAACCUUUGCAAUAGGCGAAAGCCUGACAGGGUUACUCUGAGUGACUUUCGCUAAGAAAGUCUUUUGACACCUCUAAAAAUGGUGUAGAAUAAGGGGUGGGCAAGUCUGGUGUCAGCCGCCGCGGUAAUACCAGCACCCCGAGUGGUCGGGACGAUUAUUGGGCCUAAAGCAUCCGUAGCCGGUUUUACAAGUCCUCCGUUAAAUCCAACUGCUUAACAGAUGGGCUGCAGAGGAUACUAUAGAGCUAGGAGGCGGGAGAGGCAAGCGGUACUUAGUGGGUAGGGGUAAAAUCCGUUGAUCCACUGAAGACCACUAGUGGCGAAGGCGGCUUGCCAGAACGCACUCGACGGUGAGGGAUGAAAGCUGGGGGAGCAAACCGGAUUAGAUACCCGGGUAGUCCCAGCUGUAAACGAUGCAAACUUGGUGAUGCAUUGGCUUAUGGCCAAUGCAGUGCCGCAGGGAAGCCGUUAAGUUUGCCGCCUGGGAAGUACGGACGCAAGUCUGAAACUUAAAGGAAUUGGCGGGGGAG
rnacentral:rRNA from 1 species